ensembl:lncRNA
GUGCCUGUUUUCCCCAGCUCACCUGCUGUAAGGGCAGGUGUCAGCAGCUCCGUUCAGGCCCUGGCAGCUGCAGCCCAUCCACACUAACGAGGCCCAGAAGCUUCUAUGGGUGAGGGGGAGGUGUUGGGUGGAGGAGUUCCUGGGUUUUGUGCUUUCUGUUCCCCUGCAGGGAGAUCUGCUCCUGCCUUUUGGAUUUGGGAUUGCUUUUGGAGCACAGCUCUACGUGGUCUGGUGGUUACCUGGCAGGGCAUGGAUUAGAAGCCAGCCAGCCGCUACAGCCAGCAGCAAUGUUCUUGUGCACCAAAUUGCUGUAGAGCAGGAUUAGGAAGGGAGAUGUCUAGGAGCCUGACGCUUGGUGUUUCCAACCACAUCCGCUGUGCAAAGGGAUGCUGGGCAGACCAUGCAAGUAUGGUGCACCCGGAGCAGAGAAGACAGAAACCACCCUCAAAGUGAUGUGCGGAUAAACGCCAAAAGGAGGCGCUAUGAAAGACUGGCAACUAAGGGCAUGGUGUGCUGGUUUAACACUAGUGCACGCCUCGUGUUGGAUGGACUGGCAGUGCCACGUGGGCACCUCUGACUGUUUAUUCCUUCAAACCCCAUAGCACUUUUCUCUCAAUAACCCAGAGGGAAAGCAGCAACCCGCCUCCCCUUCCUGGACGUCUCCCACCCUUACCCUGCUGCAUUGCAACUGCUUUCUGACUUUCAGUUCCCUUUCCCCCUCCCUGCAGUGUGCUGUCCAAUGCCUUGCAGGCAGAUGUCCUGCAGCGCUGUGCCGCGUGUGGGCCUGGGAGCUGCUGAGCAGAAAAGCUGCUGAAAGGGAAGACAAAAAAUAGCGGAACAGAAAGCAGAAUUCCAGUAAACAGCCUGUUAAAAAUAUCUGCAGCACAUGGCGGGGGUAACAAUUAAAAUAGGCAGUUUCUGAGCUUUGAAAGGUCACGUUAAGACAUGGUGGAUUCAAACGGAGCUGAGGAACGAACGUUUCGGCAGUCACAGUUUGUACUGAGCCAUCCCGCAUUGCCAACCAGUAGCGUUCAGGGGACCAAAUGAGUCAGACCGUGAGAAUAAUGAGCUUUCCUUGGACCAUAACAUGGAAAAAACCUGAGCUUAUACCUUAAUGGUGCGCCUGCAGCCAUGCAAACUUUAGGGGAAACGGUCAUUUUGGGGCUUGUAAAAGUGUUUGUUUCCAUGCGUGGGGCUGAAGCCGUCCGAGCGCAGCUCCGGGCUCAUAGCACUGCUCUCUGCCCCGCAGCACGCCGGGCGCAGCACGAGAAGACAUCUCUCGGAUGGGCAGAUGCCCUUUCGGUACCGAACUGCCGCUGAAAGCGUAAGGGGCCACGGCUGAGGCCUCGGGCGGCACGCGUGCAGCGUCCCGACGUGCUUAAACCCUUCGUGCUGCAGCGCUGCGUCCCUGCCGCGCCGUGCGGGCGACAGCGGCGACUCCGGGCCAGCGGGACGGGCG